AUGCCAUGGUGUGGGCAUUUCCUCAACAACUCUUUAAACCUUUCCCACGCGUCAGGAACAGCCUCAUCGUCCAUUUGUCUAAAAAGACAGAUUUCAUUCCUGGACUU